GGGAUCAUUACACAAAUAUGAAGGCGGGCUGGAACCUCUCGGGGUUACAGCCUUGCUGAAUUAUUCACCCUUGUCUUUUGCGUACUUCUUGUUUCCUUGGUGGGUUCGCCCACCACUAGGACAAACAUAAACCUUUUGUAAUUGCAAUCAGCGUCAGUAACAAAUUAAUAAUUACAACUUUCAACAACGGAUCUCUUGGUUCUGGCAUCGAUGAAGAACGCAGCGAAAUGCGAUAAGUAGUGUGAAUUGCAGAAUUCAGUGAAUCAUCGAAUCUUUGAACGCACAUUGCGCCCUUUGGUAUUCCAAAGGGCAUGCCUGUUCGAGCGUCAUUUGUACCCUCAAGCUUUGCUUGGUGUUGGGCGUCUUGUCUCUAGCUUUGCUGGAGACUCGCCUUAAAGUAAUUGGCAGCCGGCCUACUGGUUUCGGAGCGCAGCACAAGUCGCACUCUCUAUCAGCAAAGGUCUAGCAUCCAUUAAGCCUUUUUUUCAACUUUUGACCUCGGAUCAGGUAGGGAUACCCGCUGAACUUAAGCAUAUCAAUAAGCGGAGGAAAAGAA
rnacentral:rRNA from 1 species